rnacentral:lncRNA from 1 species
GUAAAAAAAUUUUACUUUGCUCGAAAUUCAAUUUUAAACACCCCUAUGGUCAAAUUGGAGCAAAAGAAAUGGUGGAUUGGCCAAAAACCGCGGGUAAAACCCGACAGCGCCACCGCAUAAAAUUACAAAAACCACUUUCGAUGAGGCUUUUUCCAAUUUUCGUUAUGCGUAAUUCUUCCACCAUUGUAAUCACCGUUUCCUUAUCUACAGGUUGACCGAAGUAAAAUAUCCAACUGCAAAUGUGAGCUGGCAGAGCCGCCGCAUCGGAGAACCCCGCCGCCGG